UCAGUACUUUUAUUUUUAUUCAUUUAUUGUUACUGGGGCAAUACAAUAAUCUUUAAAGCUGAUGUAGUGAACAUGUUCACUUACCCAGCAGACAUGGAGCAGCAUUAGCACUGAUGUGAAGUCAUGUUUCUGGCCACCUGAUGAAUUUGUAUUUGUGCGCCUUGGGAAGAUUACAAAGAGGUGCUUUGUGAGGGGAUGCAGCUGCUGAAAUCCGACUAGAUCCAGCUGAAGAGAGAAGGGAGCAGCAACACCAUGUGUGAGGUCAUAAAUCUGAUCACCACAGCAGCAGAAGACAGCGACACUGAUGCUUGCAGGAAGCAACCAGGAUUUAUGGAUAACACACCCAUCCUUUGUGAGUGCACCCAGUACUCUGUUUCCUGGGAUGACAGACUGGCAUCUUUGCAAAUGAAAACUACAAGUGUCUUGCACCUUAAAUCAACCCCUAAAAGCACCAAACUGAAUCAAAUUAAAUGUAACUUAAGGGGCCUAUAUUCAAAUAAAU